CACACGGCAGAGCUCGGGGCCCAAUCGGCUGCCCCGUACGUGCCCUGCCCUCCCGGGACUUACACGUGAAGACGCAAGGAGCCUGAAGGCCAGGGCCAGGCUCGCACCCGACGCGCAGGCCGCGUGACCGUGGCUGCCCGCCGCCCCGCCCCGUGGAGCCCUCCUUGCGGACCACACACAGGACCGCACACAUCGAGGAGCGCGGAGCUCUGGAGUCCAGGGGCCAAGGGGAGAGCGGUGACCAGCAGGGAGGACUAUUGGGAAUAGUGCAGUGAACACUGUCACGCAAUUACAUCGUUUCAGCUAUUUUGGGAAAAGAGUGUGGAACAAUGUGGAGGACGCUUGGACAGCUCUCCUGGAACAAAGAGCAGUCGUCUCCAAGUGGGCCAAACCUGGCCCUGUCUCCAUGUGCUGAUGUGUACGGAGCUGGCUGAGCCAUUGCCUUUUCCCUUCAAGUGGCUCUCAGCAAUAUAAACUGGGCUGGGUGAGGUGCUGAUGUGUAAUUGCUGAAGUCUGGUGACUGUCACUUUUCCCUGCCCUAAGACUCCUUAAAUGUAGUUGAGCCAGGUGGGAUGCAGAGCCACAGCUCCAGGGCUGUCCUGGGAUGGAGCCUUGAGAUAAGAGGCUGUGACUGCCCAGGACAGAGAAGUUUGCACCUCAGAGCUGAGGCACUGCACCCCAUACAUUACAUGCUCCCUCCACUGUGCUAUGCAGAUCAGUCUCUCUGUGUAUUGCAGAGGUGAUUUUAGGCCUCCUGCCCAGCCCAGCUCACAGUGCUCACAUAUUUCCUGCCAUUCUCACAGUCGCUUAUCCUCAAUCCCCUCCCUUCUUCAUGAGUUAAUAAAAUCUGGGUUGGGCCCUGCAUUGAGGAUUUUAUUCCAAUAAACUUUCUUCCUGGCUGGA